rnacentral:misc_RNA from 1 species
UAUCAAUACAACGUUUUGUUGUGAUUUGAGCAAUGGUGUUAACCUAGCUUUAAAAGUAUAGCUUCGGGCUUCAGGAAUGAUUACGUCCCGAACCAGAGAGAUGAAGGGGUAACCCACUUCCUUUGGGGACAGACUAGUUUGUGAAGUUUUGGACUCAACUAUUAAGUACGCAAGUACUGAAA